rnacentral:tRNA from 1 species
GCUCAGCAUGGACAGAGCAGCGGCCUCCUAAGCCGUUGGUCGUGGGUUCAAAUCCCACCG